UACGUAGGGUGCAAGCGUUAAUCGGAAUUACUGGGCGUAAAGCGUGCGCAGGCGGUUAUGUAAGACAGGUGUGAAAUCCCCGGGCUUAACCUGGGAACUGCAUUUGUGACUGCAUCGCUGGAGUGCGGCAGAGGGGGAUGGAAUUCCGCGUGUAGCAGUGAAAUGCGUAGAUAUGCGGAGGAACACCGAUGGCGAAGGCAAUCCCCUGGGCCUGCACUGACGCUCAUGCCACGAAAGCCGUGGGGAGCGAAACAAGG
rnacentral:rRNA from 1 species